rnacentral:rRNA from 1 species
CAAUAGCGUAUAUUAAAGUUGUUGCAGUUAGAACGCUCGUAGUCGGAUUUCGGGGCGGGCCGACCGGUCUGCCGAUGGGUACGCACUGGUCGGCGCGUCCUUCCUUCCGGAGACCGUGCCUACUCUUAACUGAGCGGGGGCGGGAGACGGAUCUUUUACUUUGAAAAAAUCAGAGUGUUUCAAGCAGGCAGCUCGCUCUUGCAUGGAUUAGCAUGGGAUAAUGAAAUAGGACUUUGGUGCUAUUUUGUUGGUUUCGAACACCGAAGUAAUGAUUAAAAGGGACAGUCAGGGGCACUCGUAUUCCGCCGAGAGAGGUGAAAUUCUCAGACCAGCGGAAGACGAACUACUGCGAAAGCAUUUGCCAGGGAUGUUUUCACUGA